GGCCGAGAGAGCCGGAGUACAUGUCCUGAGGACAGGCUGUAGGGAUGGAGGGAGGGCAGCUGCCCAAAAGUGUCACCAGGAGGCAAGGACAAAGACACAGCCCUGACGCUUCUCAAUCAAGUUUAGGAGUGAGGGUUAUACCUGAGGUUGCACAGCAAGAAGAGAAGAUUAAAUACGGAAGCACAGGGCACACACUGCAGCUUCAUUCAAGCAGUAUUUGCACGUGGUGGGAAGGUUAAAAGGCACAGAUACGCACAAAAACAAGUCCUAUUAACGUCUGCUGUGUGUCAUUCCGGGUUUUUAUGCACAAACCUAUGCAUAAACAUACACCUUCUAGAAAAGUGCCACAGAUUUUUAGGUUAGGAGAAAUUGUGUUAUGUUGAUGGGUUGGCUUUUGGAGAUGGGAGCCUGCGUCAUUCAAAUGUGUGCUUCUGGAGUCAUGAAAAGUAUCCGAUUCUAUUACCCGUGUGAGGCGGCUCAGCAGCACAUGCUCCAGGAAGGGGGCAUUUUGUCCCCAGGGACUCACUCCUCCUCCUCUGCCCUAGUGGCGCUGAGCCACCACCAUGGCACCAGGAGCUGUUUCCAGCACUCAGACUUGAAAAGGCACAAGGAACACGAGCAGAAGUCAAAAGACAAGAACAGCCUUGGAGUCCCCGCCAGACCUCGAUGAGCAAUGCCUGGGAGGAACGCCAAAGCCGCCAAUGGGCUUAGCCUUGACAAGAAAUCAGGUCAGAGAUAACAAAGACAAAGGGGCUCCUUAUCCUCAGGGACGGCUGAUGGUUAGCAGGUGACACCAAGGGAGACCUGCACAACUUCCUCCCAGCAGGGAGCAGACCUUCGAUGAGGAGUUUCAACCCUUGAAAAGACAGAACAAGCACAUCUGAGACGGGAAUGAGCCCACCUGACGUCCAGCGUCUAGCUACUGCCAGUGGCCGAGAGAAAUGCUUCCCACAGCACCAAUGCCUGAGGUGUGGGCAGGACGCCAUCAGUCAUCCUGGAAAAGCUACAGGGGACGGGAGUCGAGAGCAGAUGGUGAACGUGACGGCAGGAAUCAUUUUCUGCAUUGCAUUCAGUCUAUCCCCGCUCUCUAGGGGAUAUUUAGCAAAUGGUCGCUGACCUCUGACCCUGCUCCCACGGAGAGCUGGUCUCCGCCCCUCCCACAGAGCCAGUGGGCACAACCAAGCAGUUGUAAUGCAGCCAUCAGAAACUGGAAACAUGAGAAAAUGCACAUGCAUUUAUAUCACAUCAUGCUACCACAAGCAGCAGCUUUCCUACUGAAAUAGAAGUAAAUGUUAUUCAUCUAUUUGUUCGAGAAAUGCUUCUGAGUUCACUGUGUGCUGGGGCUAUUCUGAAGACACACAACUGAGCAAAAUGGUCCCUGCCCAAAGUCCUCUGCCCGGCCAAUGGCUGUGGUGUCACCCACUGCUGAGCCCUUGGUCCUCCUGGUCUCCACCACUGGUGCCCAGGGUUCUGCCUUCAGCUCUGAGGGCUGCCUGAGCUGCAGCCCUGCGCACCUCAGUGCCUCACUGCUCUGGGGAACGCAGAGCCCACAGCACGUGCAGCUGCCAGUUAGGGCGCUCAGUCCCGUGGCUGCCCUGGGCCGGCAUCCUGGGGCUCACUGAGGUCCCCCUCUCCAUGCCUCCCAUCACUGGGGACAGCUCGACCUCCAGCCACAGGCCGCGCAGCUACCUCCAUGUCACCUGAGCCCACCCCUUCUCCAUCCCACGGCCACUGCCUGGUCAGUGUCAUUGCCAUUUCUGGCCUGGGCUCCUGGUUUUCGGGCCACCACGCUGCCUCAGAUUCACACUGCACAGCGUUAGUUUUUCCUAACAUGCCACCAUGAUCGCUACCUUUUUACAGAAAACCUUCAUUACAGUCCUCAGAGUCAAGUCCAAAUUCACACCAGUGACACGUAAAUGCAGGGAGUUACAGAACAUGAACCUACCUACAAAAGUAUUCAUGUGUUUAUGUACAGACGGAAAUAUGCCGGCUGUUCCACAACAGCUGUAACCUCAGCAUGAGGAGGCGGUGGUGAUUUUCACUUUCUUCUUUGUACCUUUGCGUAUUAUUGUAAUACAUACAAUGUCGGGGUCCUUUUUAAAACACGAACAUGUUGCGCUUUUACAGAAACAAUAAAACACUGGAUAGGUUAAUCGGAGGCUGGUCCUUCUCCGCCUUUGCUGCGUUCGCUCUGCAUUUUCCUCUCCGGGUCCUCGCCCUGGCGCCUGCCUCAACCCGUGCCUUCUCCCAGCACCCACACACCCUCGUCAGGGCUCAGAUCAGGCAGGGCCACCCCUCCAAGCUCCAUGACCAAGCGCGCUGCACAGCCUCAGCCCUCGGCCUCGUGCUUGCUGGGAAGCCUGCACCCCGUAAGCCAGCAUCACUCCGUGACCAGAGGAGGGCGCGAGCUGCACGACUUCUCUCUGCUCAUCGGAAGCCGCUAAGGUGUCCUGCCUAAGACCUCAGCACUCGUGCAGCUUUUCAGUUCCUCCGUAAGGGUGCACAUGA